UAGGGAAUUUCGUCAAUGGGCGCAAGCCUGAACGAGCAAUGCCGCGUGAGUGAGGAAGGUCUUCGGAUCGUAAAGCUCUGUUGCGGGGGAAAAAGGAAGCAGAAAGGAAAUGGUCUGCUUUUGAUGGUACCCCGCCAGAAAGUCACGGCUAACUACGUGCC
rnacentral:rRNA from 1 species